AGUGAGUAACACGUGAGUAACCUGCCCUUGACUCUGGGAUAACCUCCGGAAACGGAAGCUAAUACCGGAUAUGACGCACGGAGGCAUCUCCUGUGCGUGGAAAGAACUUCGGUCAAGGAUGGACUCGCGGCCUAUCAGGUAGUUGGUGAGGUAACGGCUCACCAAGCCUACGACGGGUAGCCGGCCUGAGAGGGUGACCGGCCACACUGGGACUGAGACACGGCCCAGACUCCUACGGGAGGCAGCAGUGGGGAAUAUUGCACAAUGGGCGCAAGCCUGAUGCAGCAACGCCGCGUGAGGGAUGACGGCCUUCGGGUUGUAAACCUCUUUUAGUAGGGAAGAAGCGAAAGUGACGGUACCUGCAGAAAAAGCACCGGCUAACUACGUGCCAGCAGCCGCGGUAAUACGUAGGGUGCGAGCGUUGUCCGGAAUUAUUGGGCGUAAAGAGCUCGUAGGCGGUCUGUCGCGUCUGCUGUGAAAACCCGAG
rnacentral:rRNA from 1 species